rfam:Octopus bimaculoides Scaffold72853_contig_44, whole genome shotgun sequence.
GUUAAAUUCAGGCAGUACAUAUACUAAAAUUAGAAUGAUAUAGAGAAGAUUAGCAUGGCCCAUGCUUAAGUAUGACAUACAAAUUCAUGAAACAUUCCCUAUUUUU